rnacentral:piRNA from 1 species
UAGCCUAUGUGUGGGCAGAUCCACGCUGCCUC